CAUGUGUGUUUGGCUUCUCAUUUACCAAGCUCUCAGGGGACCAUGGCAACCACAACCUAAACAAAGAACCACAGGUGGAUAGACAGAGCCGCCUGCACCCCACAGCAGAACCCCUCCUUCCAGCUGGCUAUUAGGAAAUCUGAAAGAGCUGCCUCUUCCAGCCCAACCCUGAUCACACCUCCACCAGGAUGGAUCUUGCCAGAAGCAGUUGGCUCAAAUGUUGUCUUCUGGCCUGCCCCAUCCCCCAUCUUUUACCCGUCAAGACCCCAGGCUCCACUGGCAGAGGGGUGGCACAGUGGUGGGGUGGAGCAGCAGAGGAGAGAAGAGAAGCAGCAGCCAGCUUACCAGAGAGACCCCCCACCCAGGCGGCGCUGAGGCAUUAAGAAGCAGAGAUCCAGAUAGAACAGCAAAGUGGGACUAUCCAGGUUGUGGGGGAUGGCCAGCAGCCUUCCGAGCUGAGAGCCUCCGAGGCUGACAGCAUUCUGGGGUGAGGGCCUUGAGCAGAUGCUGACCCACGGAUUUAGUCUCUCUGAACAGGUGUUAGAGAGAAGCAGUUUGACUUCAGGGAGAUGGCUUGACCCUGAGACUUCGGAGAAGAGUUCCACCAGGGACAGACAGACUCCAGGGAAAGAUCACCUUCCCACUCCGUCCCCGUUCCAGCUCUCCAUCCUGCUGAGAGCCACUUAACACUGCUCAAUAUAAUCCUCCAGAUUCACCGCUCUUCAAUUUAUUCGUGUGACCUGAAUCUUCCUGGAUGCUGGACAAGAACUUGGGUACCAAGAGGCAGGUGCAAAAGGCUGUAUAUCAUCCAUGGAGAAAUGCCUAGUCAAACUUGAAAAAAAAAGUCUAUCUACUGGGCCUGGCAUGGUGGCUCAUGUCUGUAAUCCCAGCACUUUGGGAGGCAGAGGUGGGUGGAUCACUUGAGGUCAGGAGCUCAAGACCAGCCUGACCAACAUGGUGAAACCCUGUCUCUAUUAAAAAUGCAAAAAUUAGAAUUCAGCUCCUGCCCCUCACCAAGCACCCAUGGUGGCAAUGUACCCACUUGAUAACUGAUCACUGGUGUCACUUCCACCUCCCUCCUUCCAUGAGUUCGAACCUCCAGUUAACACAGUUGGGUCAGCCCAGAGUUCUCAGUGUCCCCAGAGCCUGCAGUGCCUGGUGCUGGGCAGAUACUCAAUAAACAUCCAAAAGCAGGCUAGGCCCAGUGGCUCACACCUGUGACCUCAGCACUUUGAGAGGCUGACGCAGGGAGGAUGGCUUGAGCCCAGGAGUUCAAGAUCAGCCUGGGCAACAUAGCAAGACCUCUGUCUCUGCUUUUAAAAAGUUAAAUUAACAUCAAUGAAUGACUGUAAUCCCAGCACUUUGGGAGGCCGAGGCGGGUGGAUCACGAGGUUAAGAGAUCGAGACCAUCUGGUCAACAUGGUGAAACCCCGUCUGUACUAAAAAUACAAAAAAUUAGCUGGGCAUGGUGGUGCAUGCCUGUAAUCCCAGCUACUCAGGAGGCUGAGGCAGGAGAAUUGCUUGAACCCAGGAGGCGGCGGUUGCGGUGAGCCGAGAUUGCGCCAUUGCACUCCUGCCUGGGUAACAAGAGCGAUACUCCGCCUCAAAAAAAAAAAAAAAUCAAUACAUGAAUGAAGAAACAAACUUUGGGCAACCCACUGCCCCUCUUUGGGUGACUUGUUUUUUUUCAGUUUUGUAAAGAAGUGACAGUGUUAAGAAUUAGAAAUGAGGGCUGGGCAUGGUGGCUCACAACUGUAAUCCCAGCACUUUGGGAGGCUGAGGCAGGCAGAUAACUUGAGGUGAGGAGUUUGAGACCAGCCUGGCCAACAUGGUGAAACUCCAUCUCUACUAAAAAUACAAAAAUCAGCCAGAUGUAGUGGUGCAUGUCUGUAGUCGCAGCUAUUCAGGAGGCUGCAGCAGGAGGGAGAAUCACUUGAACCCAGGAGGUGGAGGUUGCAGUGAGCUGAGAUCACGCCACUGCACUCCAGCCUGGGCAACAGACACUCUGUCUCAAAAAAAAAAAAAAAAAAGAAGAAGAAUUAGAAAUGGGGUUGCUGAGGACAUGUGCCCCUGCUGAGCUCCCAGUGUGCCCUCCUGUCCUGGCUUGGUAGGAGAUUCUGCUUUCACCUCUGCAGGCGACUCCUGUGCUCACUGCAAUUCUGUCACUGGUGCCUGCACCUGACCCCAUUUCUGUUUGCCACCCCCCAGGCAGCCCGUAUUUGUGAUCACAGCCCUGUGAUCAGAGCCUUGGAAACCCUUGUACAGGGGGCAGAGCAAUCCUUGCUACCUGCAAGGAAACCAGACAAGGCUGUGCUGAUGGCAGAAAAUUGACUGUGGGUAGUUACAUGGACAAGAAUCAGAGUUCAAGUCUAGGAACCCCUGGUUUUUAGGCGGAGGACGUCAAGGCUGAAGUGAGGCAUUAUAAUCCCCCAUCAUGACAAGGUGGGCCUUGUGACAUUUAGAACAGGGUCCUCCCAACUCCAGUCAGUCACAGCCUGCCUUGGAAGCCCAGGUGCCUCUGGCCCUCCAGAUGUCACUGCAUCUGGGGAAGCUGCAGACGGGGUGGCCAUGCAGUGCAACAGGGUCGGGGGAUGCCUGUCACAUCUCGGAUGCAGAGGCAGCCCCUGGAGAUGGGGAUGUUCUGUGACUCUUGCCCGACAGCCCAGGCCAUCUCCAUGGAGCCAGCACAGCCAUUUUUUUUCUUGCCAAUCUGCUCAAACACCCAGUUGGCGCAGGGAUGCCUCAUGGCACUGGCUUUAGGAAUUGAAUUUAAGUGGUUUGCUGUUUCUAGCAGCAAAGCACCUGUCCAGACUAUGUAUACACAUCCAUGAAUGGUGCAGCUGCCAGAAGAAUCAAAGCUAAAUGUUGGCGGGAUCACAGCAGGUGUGGAGGGGAGGGCACUGGGAAUUCCCUGGAGACUCAGUCGUUACCCACUCAACUGAAAGGCUGAGCGUGGCUUUUCCUCUGAUGGUUACCUCUGCCUGACCCCACCUCUCCAUUUCCAAUUUUCUUUCAUUUAUUUGUUUGUUUAUUUUGAGACGGAAUCUGGCUCUGUCGCCAGGCUGGAAUGCAGUGGCAACCUCACCGCAACCUCUGUCUCCUGGGUUCAAGCAAUUCUCUCGCUUCAGCCUCCUGAGUAGCUGGGAUUACAGGUGUACACCACCAUGCCUGGCUAAUGUUUGUAUUUUUAGUAGAGACAGGGUUUUGCCAUGUUGGUCAGGCUGGUCUCGAACUCCUGACCUCAGAUGAUCUGCCCACCUCGGCCUCCCACAGUGCUGGGAUUAUAGGUGUGAAUCGCUGCACCCAGCCCAUUUCCAAUUUUCCAUCCAGUGGUGGCAGAACAAACUUGGAUGGGCCCCAAUGCUCUGCUGAAACCAGGACCCUCAUCCUUGCCCCAUCUCAUUACCCAGCUGCCUCCAGCUGGGCCUGCCCACCCCUGCUGACCUCCUACGUGCAGAGAACGGGGCUUCUCUGCUUUUCAGGCCUGAAGCAGUGAUGCCCACAGAGCCUGGGAGCCACGCACACCCCCUGAAGCUGGAACUCCAGGCAUGGGCGAGUCCUGGGUGGCUGGACCUUGUUGGGAUGGAUGGAAGGGCAGCUUCUGCAGGCAGGACCCAUCUUCAGUGGACUGGGUCAUCUUCAGUGUCUCAUUCUCAUCCCCAUUCUCUGAGAACAGGAAAAGAGGUUCCUGUCUGAAUCUUCAGCAUGGUCAAUGCCCUGGUGGCCCCUUACAGCUUGGUCUCUGUGGCAGGUGGGCCCACGAUGAGCUGAGAUGGUGACGUGGGACAGGUGACUCUUUGCAGCCACCUUCAGCACCACCCUGCCUGGGACGGCAGGGAUCGGGGGUGGGUGCAAAGGGGUUGGAAAACACAGGCUGAGGUGGCUAGGGUCUUCACUGUGUUGGGGAGGGUCUCGCCGCCUUGAGACUCUGCAAUGUCUCCUCAGAGGCCUUGUCGGGAAGCAGCACUUCCACAGUAUAGCUGAGCUUCUUGGUGUGCAUCCGGCUGUAGGUGUUGUCAAAGCGCAGGACAUCUGCAGUGACAGAGAGGAGAUCAGGGAGCACGAACCCCGCGCAUUUGCAGGAACAGCGAGCCCUGCACGGCUGCAUCCCUGGAACCCUUGGGAGCGAGCUGUCCAGGAUGGUAGGCGGAGCCUGAGGGCCAGCCUGUGUCCCUCCCUAAGCCUGUUGCUCACUGCCAUCCCAUGGUGGCUUGCGCUACAUAAAGGACUCAUGACAGUUACCAGCACACAGAACAGCACACAGCCAGGAAGCCUGCAGCCUGGGAACAGGAUCUUGGGCUCCACCUGCAGAGAGGAGCUGCAGCCCACGGACUGGAAAACCCCAAAGCCGAUGUCCCCACCAUCCGAUGCGAACUGCCACCUGCAGUGGACAGAGCCCCACUGGCGACCCCCUGCCUGGGCUCUGGCACCUUCCCAGCUGUGCCCAGGUGUGGGGUGGCUGUCAUCCCUACCUGAGCACACAGCCUGGGAACAGAAUCUCGUUCUCCACCUGCAAGGAGGAGCCUCGACCCACGGACUCCGUGUGCUCGUACUGCAGCCUUACCUGGUUGCACAGGCAGAUGAACAUAACCAGACGCCAAGUCACUCACCUCCCAGAAUUACAAUCUUCCUGCGUGUUUCCUCACUCAUGAACGACUUGACCAAGUUGAAGGCCACGGGGAACAGUUUGGGGGCUGAAACACGUGAAAAUCUCUUGAGAAGCUGGACCAGAGAGGAUGUGGGGAUACAGAGCCACAGUCAAGAGCAGGUGCUGGACCGGAGUUGGACAGAUAUGGAUUCUGCCACUCUCUGCGGUGUGACCUUCAGCCAGUUACCCACCCUCUCUAAGUCUCAGUGUAGUUAACUGGAAGAUGAAGGUGAAAUAAUGGUAUAUAUAACACCUGGCACAGUUCCUGGCUUCAAUAAAGGUUGUCUCAGGCCGGGCGCGGUGGCUCAUCCCUGUAAUCCUAGCACUUUGGGAGGCUGAGGCAGGCAGAUCACUGGAGGCCAGGAGUUUCAAGACCAGCCUGGCCAACAUGGUGAAACCGCGUCUCUACGAAAAAUACAAAAAUUAGCUGGCAUAGUGGUGGGCUUACCUCGAAUGACAAUUAAAUUCUUCAGAGUCUCAGGAUAAUUU